rnacentral:rRNA from 1 species
CACUCCUACGGGAGGCAGCAGUGGGGAAUAUUGCACAAUGGGCGCAAGCCUGAUGCAGCCAUGCCGCGUGUAUGAAGAAGGCCUUCGGGUUGUAAAGUACUUUCAGCGGGGAGGAAGGCGAUAAGGUUAAUAACCUUGUCGAUUGACGUUACCCGCAGAAGAAGCACCGGCUAACUCCGUGCCAGCAGCCGCGGUAAUACGGAGGGUGCAAGCGUUAAUCGGAAUUACUGGGCGUAAAGCGCACGCAGGCGGUCUGUCAAGUCGGAUGUGAAAUCCCCGGGCUCAACCUGGGAACUGCAUUCGAAACUGGCAGGCUAGAGUCUUGUAGAGGGGGGUAGAAUUCCCGGUGUAGCGGUGAAAUGCGUAGAGAUCUGGAGGAAUACCGGUGGCGAAGGCGGCCCCCUGGACAAAGACUGACGCUCAGGUGCGAAAGCGUGGGGAGCAAACAGGAUUAGAAACCCGAGUAUCCCAUGAU